GCCGCCGGCGCCAGGUCCCAGUAGCGGGUGGGUCCUUGCCGGUGCCCCGGGUCCCCGCGCUAGCUCGUCCCAACCCCUGGAAGAGGGCUGCGCUUCCGAGGGGGCAGGGGGCAGAGGGUAGGGGGCCCACGCCUCCGCCCCACUCUGACCCGCAGGUUUUCAGACUUGCCGGUGUGUGCCAAACCAUGAAUUCAAAAUCUUGAACUACCCGAUCCCACGGGACUAAGGCAGGAGGGGGUCGCAGGGGGCCUGGUGCUGGAAGUCCAGUUUGCAAAUAAACCAAGGAGCUGGAGGAAGCUGUCAGGCCACACUAGCGGUUCCAGCGCUCUUGGCUCUCAGCCCCCACCUGCCGGGAAGGGUCGGUCUGCACUCUGCCUUCCACGACGGCAGGUUAGAAAAUGAUUGUUUGUUUACAAUGAAAAGUAGUAGAGCUAGAGAAUAAUAUGCACAAAAUGUGACAUCCUGCGUGAUGAAACCAGAGCAAAGGAGCCCUAAAUGCAGGAGCGCACAGGUGUCCGCGCAGCCGGGAAUCAGCCAGCGCCUGCCCGCAGAGUCCAGGGAACCGACAGGUGAGCGCUCCCGGGCCCGGGAGCGCCAGGGAGAGGCCGGGCCACCGAGGCCCAAAGCAGCAAGUGUGUCCUCAGGGGAGCUUGUGCAAUAGCCCCAGUCACAGAGGCAAAGCUCAGAAACAACCCCGUCGGGUGUUCUGGCCAGCAACUGCCGCAAGCAGCCUCCUGAGUAAGCCCAAAACCACUGAUUUCCAGUCACUAUGGAUUUGGGGCUCA
rnacentral:lncRNA from 1 species